CGCCGGGAAGGCGGCGCGCGCCGUCAUGGCGCUGGCGGAGGCGGCGCUGCGGAGGCAGCUGGGCAAGUAUAAGUUCAGAGACCUGACUAUAGAAGAGCUGAAGAAUGUUAGCAAGGCCUACCCCAACUUCACAUUCUCCAUGAACACAUACACCUUCAAGGAUGGAUCCCAGAAGGACCUCCUGAAUUUUAGUGGCACUGUUCCAGUGAAAUAUGGUAAUUCCUAUAACAUACCUAUUCAUCUGUGGAUCCUGGAUUCCCAUCCCUUUGCUCCCCCUAUUUGCUUCCUGAAGCCGACUGCAAACAUGGGCAUUGCAGUGGGGAAACACGUUGAUGCACGGGGCAGGAUUUAUUUGCCCUACCUGCAGAACUGGAACCAUCCUAAAUCAACUCUCAUUGGAUUAAUCAAGGAAAUGAUCGCAAAGUUUGAGGAAGAGCUUCCUUUGUACUCACUGUCAUCUUCUGAUGCAGACAGGCAAUCAGAACUUCUCUCCUAUAUUGCAAAGAUUACUGAAGGAGAGACUGACAUGAAAUCAAGGGGUAAAACUGGCAGAAAUGAAGGAUGCUUUAAUAAAAUUACUGUUGUUGGAGCUGGAGAUCUUGGCAUUGCAUGUGUACUAGCAGUUGCAGCAAAGGACAUUGCAGACAAGGUGGUUCUUUUGGAUCCUUCUGAAGGUACAGCAAAAGGAGGGACCAUGGAUUUGGAGAUUUUUGCUGUGCCAAAUGUGGAGAUCAGCAAAGAUUUUUCUGCUUCAGCUGAUUCCAAAGUUGUGGUGCUUACAGUUAAUUCUCUGGGUAAUGCUCAGACUUACCUUGAUGUCAUACAAAGCAAUGUGGAUUUGUUCAGAGGAAUUAUUCCAGCAGUAUCCCACUACAGUCAGAAUGCUGUUCUCCUUGUUGCUUCUCAUCCAGCUUUGAGCAGGACACUAUCUUUGAGGGUUUUUUCUUUACUGUUACCAAGAUUAAAGAAAAUAGUGUACUUUGUUUUGUGUAACAGGUAUGUAUUUCUUUGUUUCUGUGCGUGGUUUCAACCUGGCUGUGUCUACAUUGUUAGCAUCCAUUGGCUGUUGUCUUGUGAGUUUUAUGUGCACAUUUCUCCUGUGCAGGAAGGAUAGAUCCAUGUGUGUUGUGAGCCAUAUGAUCACACUUACAGGCUACUAAUACACAAAAUACAGCAUUAACAGUAAAUAUUGCAGCUAGAUUUUGGUGGAAGGUUUCAAUUUCCAGGUUAGUGGUACUGUGAACUAAGACAAAACAAAAUCACUAUUUAGGAGAGGGAAAGAAGUGUGAGGCUCUAUCCUGUAAUGCAUUGAAGACAGCUCUUCUUACUCUCUUACCAUUAUUGUUGCUAAUUUUUUCACUUCUUCUCCACCCAACUUUGUGUUUUAGGUUGAAAUAAACUACCAGUAUAUUCUGACAUGCUUAUGCCUUUUCUAAAUUGAAGUGAUGACAUUUGUGUCGUGGAAGCUGAGCUCAUUUCCCAAAAGCAGAGUAAUUGGAGUAGGUACCAACCUCGAUUCAGA